GGAAACAUGGACUAAUACCGCAUAUACUCUUGUACAUAAGUAGAGUAGAGGAAAGUUUUUUCGCUUCACGAUGAGCCUGCGGCCUAUUAGCCUGUUGGUAGGGUAAUGGCCUACCAAAGCUACGAUAGGUAGCCGACCUGAGAGGGUGACCGGCCACAUUGGGACUGAGAUACGGCCCAGACUCCUACGGGAGGCAGCAGCUGAGAAUCUUCCACAAUGGACGAAAGUCUGAUGGAGCGUGACAGUAGAUAAUGUAAGCCUCGGCUAACUAACAUCGCGUGAGGGAUAGGCCUUCGGGUUGUAAACCUCGGAAAUUAUCGAAGAAUGAG
rnacentral:rRNA from 1 species